GAUGAACGCUGGCGGCGUGCCUAAUACAUGCAAGUCGAGCGAACAGAUGAGGAGCUUGCUCCUCUGACGUUAGCGGCGGACGGGUGAGUAACACGUGGAUAACCUACCUAUAAGACUGGGAUAACUUCGGGAAACCGGAGCUAAUACCGGAUAAUAUAUUGAACCGCAUGGUUCAAUAGUGAAAGACGGUUUUGCUGUCACUUAUAGAUGGAUCCGCGCCGCAUUAGCUAGUUGGUAAGGUAACGGCUUACCAAGGCAACGAUGCGUAGCCGACCUGAGAGGGUGAUCGGCCACACUGGAACUGAGACACGGUCCAGACUCCUACGGGAGGCAGCAGUAGGGAAUCUUCCGCAAAGGGCGAAAGCCUGACGGAGCAACGCCGCGUGAGUGAUGAAGGUCCUCGGAUCGUAAAACUCUGUUAUUAGGGAAGAACAAAUGUGUAAGUAACUAUGCACGUCUUGACGGUACCUAAUCAGAAAGCCACGGCUAACUACGUG
rnacentral:rRNA from 1 species